GUAGGUGGCAAGCGUUGUUCGGAAUUAUUGGGCGUAAAGCGCGCGCAGGCGGUCCUUUAAGUCUGAUGUGAAAGCCCACGGCUCAACCGUGGAGGGUCAUUGGAAACUGAGGGACUUGAGUACAGAAGAGGAAAGCGGAAUUCCACGUGUAGCGGUGAAAUGCGUAGAGAUGUGGAGGAACACCAGUGGCGAAGGCGGCUUUCUGGUCUGUAACUGACGCUGAGGCGCGAAAGCGUGGGGAGCAAACAGGGAUUAGAUACCCUGGUAGUCCACGCCGUAAACGAUGAGUGCUAAGUGUUAGGGGGUUUCCGCCCCCUUAGUGCUGCAGCUAACGCAUUAAGCACUCCGCCUGGGGAUACGACCGCAAGGUUG
rnacentral:rRNA from 1 species